GACGAACGCUGGCGGCGUGCCUAAUACAUGCAAGUUGAGCGCUGAAGGUUGGUACUUGUACCAACUGGAUGAGCAGCGAACGGGUGAGUAACGCGUGGGGAAUCUGCCUUUGAGCGGGGGACAACAUUUGGAAACGAAUGCUAAUACCGCAUAAAAGCUUUAAACACAAGUUUUAAGUUUGAAAGAUGCAAUUGCAUCACUCAAAGAUGAUCCCGCGUUGUAUUAGCUAGUUGGUGAGGUAAAGGCCCACCAAGGCGAUGAUACAUAGCCGACCUGAGAGGGUGAUCGGCCAACUUGGGAAUGAGGCACGGCCCAAACUCCUACGGGAAGCAGCAGUAGGGAAUCAUCGGCAAUGGACGAAAGUCUGACCGAGCAACGCCGCGGGGGUGAAGAAGGUUUUCGGAUCGUAAAACUCUGUUGGUAGGGAAGAACGUUGGUGAGAGUGGAAAGCUCAUCAAGUGACGGUAACUACCCAGAAAGGGACGGCUAACUACGUG
rnacentral:rRNA from 1 species